rnacentral:rRNA from 1 species
GUAGUCAUAUGCUUGUCUCAAAGAUUAAGCCAUGCAUGUCUAAGUAUAAGCAAUUUAUACGGUGAAACUGCGAAUGGCUCAUUAAAUCAGUUAUCGUUUAUUUGAUAGUACCUUACUACAUGGAUACCUGUGGUAAUUCUAGAGCUAAUACGUGCUAAAAACCUCGACUUCGGAAGGGGUGUAUUUAUUAGAUAAAAAACCAAUGCCCUUCGGGGCUCCUUGGUGAAUCAUAAUAACUUAACGAAUCGCAUGGCCUUGCGCCGGCGAUGGUUCAUUCAAAUUUCUGCCCUAUCAACUUUCGAUGGUAGGAUAGUGGCCUACCAUGGUGGCAACGGGUAACGGGGAAUGA